UUCCAGACUCCUACGGGAGGCAGCAGUGAGGAAUAUUGGUCAAUGGCCGGAAGGCUGAACCAGCCAAGUCGCGUGAGGGACGACUGCCCUAUGGGUUGUAAACCUCUUUUAUAAGGGAAGAAUAAAUGCUACGUGUAGCAUGAUGCCUGUACCUUAUGAAUAAGCAUCGGCUAACUCCGUGCCAGCAGCCGCGGUAAUACGGAGGAUGCGAGCGUUAUCCGGAUUUAUUGGGUUUAAAGGGUGCGUAGGCGGUCUGGUAAGUCAGGGGUAAAAUUGGGGGGCUCAACCCCGUCGAGCCGUUGAAACUGGCAGACUUGAGUUGGCGAGAAGUACGCGGAAUGCGCGGUGUAGCGGUGAAAUGCAUAGAUAUCGCGCAGAACUCUGAUUGCGAAGGCAGCGUACCGGCGCCACACUGACGCUGAGGCACGAAAGCGUGGGGAUCGAACAGGAUUAGAUACCCUCGUAAC
rnacentral:rRNA from 1 species